AUGUCGGUGUUACAUGUAUGUUGUUGCAUGUGUAUACACAUAUGUGUGUAUACAUAUAUGUUGUGGGUAUACACACGUUUAUGUUGUACACAUGCAUGUAUGUUUUAUGUUGGUGAAAGUUUAGCUCUUGUGGAGGAGAUGACAACACUGAUUUGUAGUGUUUGCCUAUUUCGGUGGUGUAAGAACUCCCACUGUGGCCUACUGCGAGCUACCAGAGGGAUGUCGUCGUGCGGAGUUGGGAAGAGAUGCUCGGCGGUGGACCAUCGUAUAGGAGUCCCCAGACAGAAACAAAUCAGAUAUUUACUGAACACUUCUGCGACAAAGAUUCUUCUAUACAGCGGCCUGUGGCUCGCUUGUAACCAACAGGAUUCUGAGAAGUGACACUUCAGGACUUCCGUAGUGACGGCAGGAGAGGCCCUGUUGCCUGGGACACUCCUGUGUGGGGUCCUGAGCCGCCACGUAGGGCAGCUGGGACCCUGAUGCCUCCAUCUGUGUGAGCCGACGCCCUGCACAGGCGCUCUGGAAAACUGCCACAGUUAUGGCCCAGGAAAUAGUACUAACCUUGGGGCACGCGGGUGAACAUACCUCCGUGUGACUCCUGCCCCCAGCCCUGGAGUCACCCCCAGCCACCGAUCAUCCCAGCGGAGGCCCUUCCUGCUGUGCCCUCUGAUUUCUUGACCUAUAGAAUUCUGAGCAAAAGAAGAUGAUUGUUUUGAGACACUGAAUAUUGGGAUAAUGUGUUUCACAGCAAAAAUGACGGGAACAUCUUACUGAGGAGGGGAAGGGGAGUUUCUAUAGCUUCAUGGUGGCUGGAGGGACAGGGCGGUGGCUUCCCUGCCUCUCUCCAUUUGCUGUGACUUCCAGUUCUCGCCUCAUCUCACCCUGAUUGGAAUGACACAUGGACGCGUCUGUCUGCCCUGUCAGGCUGGCUGGGAGCCCCCGUGGGAAGAGGAUGGCUGGGCUGUCCUGGUUGCCACGUAUCCCAGGCACCCGGCACAGAGCCCGACAAGAAGAGAAUCGGUAAAUGCUCGCUGGGUACAUGCCUGCCUGCGGUUGGUCUGAUGUUUAUUUCGCCAAGGGUGGGGAUCUCAGACUUCUUCCGAGUUCACAGGGGAGCUGCACGGAAGCUCUUGCUUGCUGGCUGCCUCACACAGAUCUAGGACUGGACUGAAAGCAGUCUUUCUGAAAGCAUUCUCAUGAACACAACAUUUUGAUUGAAACAAUGAUUUGAUUGAAAAUAAAAAUUCCCCAGUUGCUGGGUUUUUUUUCCCU
rnacentral:lncRNA from 1 species